GACGAACGCUGGCGGCGUGCUUAACACAUGCAAGUCGAACGGAAAGGCCCUGCGUUUGUGCGGUUCUCGAGUGGCGAACGGGUGCGGAACACGUGAGUAACCUGCCCUUGACUUUCGGGUAACUUCACGAAACUGGGGCUAAUCCCGGACAGCAUCUCCUGCUGCAUGGUGGGCGGUGGAAAGUUGCGGCUGGUGGGGAUGGACUCGCGGCUUAUCGGCUUGUUGGUGGGGUAGUGGCUUACCAAGGCAUGGAAGGGUCGGCGGCCUGAGAGGGUGGCCGGGGACAAUGGGCCUAAGAGAGGGAGCAGAGUGGUAUGGGAGGCAGCAGUGGGGAGUCUGGCACAGCGGGAGGAAGCGUGUGGCGGCGGCGCCGGGUGCGUGAAGCCGGCUUUCGGGUUGAGAACAGCUUUAGGCUGUGACGAAGCGGGUGUGACGGUAAUGAAUGAAGAAGCACCGGCUAACUACGUG
rnacentral:rRNA from 1 species